UACGUAGGGUGCAAGCGUUAAUCGGAAUUACUGGGCGUAAAGCGUGCGCAGGCGGUGAUGUAAGACAGAUGUGAAAUCCCCGGGCUCAACCCGGGAACUGCGUCCGAUACUGAAAGGCUUGAAUCCGGGAGAGGGAUGCGGAAUUCCAGGUGUAGCGGUGAAAUGCGUAGAUAUCUGGAGGAACACCGGUGGCGAAGGCGGCAUCCUGGACCGGCAUUGACGCUGAGGCGCGAAAGCCAGGGGAGCAAACGGG
rnacentral:rRNA from 1 species